AAGACCUUGCGCUUUUGGAGCGGCCGAUGCCUGAUUAGCUUGUUGGUAAGGUAAAAGCUUACCAAGGCUUCGAUCAGUAACUGGUCUGAGAGGACGGCCAGCCACACUGGGACUGAGACACGGCCCAGACUCCUACGGGAGGCAGCAGUGGGGAAUUUUGGACAAUGGGGGCAACCCUGAUCCAGCCAUGCCGCGUGAGUGAAGAAGGCCUUCGGGUUGUAAAGCUCUUUCAGCCGGAACGAAACGGUUACGGUUAAUAUCCGUGACUACUGACGGUACCGGAAGAAGAAGCACCGGCUAACUACGUGCCAGCAGCCGCGGUAAUACGUAGGGUGCGAGCGUUAAUCGGAAUUACUGGGCGUAAAGCGUGCGCAGGUGGUUUUGUAAGUCAGAUGUGAAAGCCCCGGGCUCAACCUGGGAACU
rnacentral:rRNA from 1 species